GACGAACGCUGGCGGCGUGCCUAAUACAUGCAAGUCGAGCGGAGUAAAAAGCGUGCUUGCACGGUUUUUAUUUAGCGGCGAACGGGUGAGUAACACGUAGGUAACCUGGCCAUAAGACAGGGAUAACGCACGGAAACGUGAGCUAAAACCAGAUAGGCAUUUUCCACGCAUGAGGGAGAUGAGAAAGGCGGAGCAAUCUGCCGCUUAUGGAUGGACCUGCGUCGCAUUAGCUAGUUGGAGUGGUAAAGGCACACCAAGGCGACGAUGCGUAGCCGACCUGAGAGGGUGAGCGGCCACACUGGGACUGAGACACGGCCCAGACUCCUACGGGAGGCAGCAGUAGGGAAUCUUCCGCAAUGGACGAAAGUACUGACGGAGCAACGCCGCGUGAGUGAAGAAGGUUUACGGUAGUCGUAAAGACUCUGUUGUCCAGGGAAGAAGAGCAAGGAAGAGGAAACGUGCUCCUUGAGUGACGGUACCUGAGAAGAAAGACCCGGCUAACUACGUACCAG
rnacentral:rRNA from 1 species